rnacentral:rRNA from 1 species
GACGUAGGGGGCCAGCGUUGUUCGGAAUUACUGGGUGUAAAGGGUUCGUAGGCGGUGCGGCAAGUUGGGAGUGAAAUCUCUGGGCUUAACCCAGAGGCUGCUUCCAAAACUGCUGUGCUUGAGUGUGGGAGAGGCGCGUGGAAUUGCAGGUGUAGCGGUGAAAUGCGUAGAUAUCUGCAGGAACACCCGUGGCGAAAGCGGCGCCGCUGGACCACUACUGACGCUGAGGAACGAAAGCUAGGGGAGCAAACAGG